AGUGAACGUUGGCGGCGUGGAUUAGGCAUGCAAGUCGAGCGAGAACCGUAGCAAUACGGGGACAGCGGCGAAAGGGACAGUAAUGUGUAGGUACCUACCUCCGGGUUCGGGAUAGCUGCGGGAAACUGCAGGUAAUACCGAAUAACGUCUCCGGACCAAAGGUGUGAUUCCACCUGGAGAGGGGCCUGCAUCCUAUUAGCUUGUUGGCGGGGUAACGGCCCACCAAGGCGACGAUGGGUAGCGGGUGUGAGAGCACGACCCGCGUCAUUGGGACUGAGACACUGCCCAGACACCUACGGGUGGCUGCAGUCGAGGAUCUUCGGCAAUGGGCGCAAGCCUGACCGAGCGACGCCGCGUGCGGGAUGAAGGCCUUCGGGUUGUAAACCGCUGUCGUAGAGGAGGAAAUGCAGGAGGGUUCUCCCUUCUGUUUGACCUAUUCUAGGAGGAAGUACGGGCUAAGUUCGUGCCAGCCGCCGCGGAAC
rnacentral:rRNA from 1 species